rfam:Perkinsus marinus ATCC 50983 gcontig_1104296633826, whole genome shotgun sequence.
GCCGGGAUGGUCUAGUGGUUAUGUCGUCUGCCUUACACGCAGAAGAUCGCGAGUUCAUUCCUCUUUCCUGGUA